rnacentral:pre_miRNA from 2 species
UCUUAUGGAUAAGCAAAGAAAGAGAUUUCUUGAGAUGGAAUCUACUUCUUGUGAAGAUGCUGUGAA